AAAACUGCCAUGUAUGGAGGGGGAUAACUACCUGGAAACGGAUAUNCUAAUACCGCAUGACCUCGNAAGAGCNAAGUGGGGGACCUUCGGGCCUCACGCCAUCGGAUGUGCCCANAUGGGAUUANCUAGAAGGUGGGGUAAUGGCUCACCUAGGCGACGAUCCCUAGCUGGUCUGAGAGGAUGACCAGCCACACUGGAACUGANACACGGUCCAGACUCCUACGGNANGCAGCAGUGGGGAAUAUUGCACAAUGGGCGCAANCCUGAUGCAUCCAUGCCGCGUGUGUAAAGAAGGCCUUCGGGUUGUAAAGCACUUUCAGCGAGGAGGAAGGCAGUCGUGUUAAUAGCACGNUUGAUUGACGUUACUCGCAGAAGAAGCACCGGCUAACUCCGUGCCAGCAGCCGCGGUAAUACGGAGGGUGCAAGCGUUAAUCGGAAUUACUGGGCGUAAAGCGCACGCAGGCGGUUUGUUAAGUCAGAUGUGAAAUCCCCGCGCUUAACGUGGGAACUGCAUUUGAAACUGGCAAGCUAGAGUCUUGUAGAGGGGGGUAGAAUUCCAGGUGUAGCGGUGAAAUGCGUANAGAUCUGGAGGAAUACCGGUGGCGAAGGCGGCCCCCUGGACAAAGACUGACGCUCAGGUGCGAAAGCGUGGGGAGCAAACAGGAUUANAUACCCUGGUAGUCCACGCUGU
rnacentral:rRNA from 1 species